GGAGAAUUGGUUGAGCCUGGGAGGUGGAGGUUGCAGUGAGCUGAGAUCACGCCACUGCACUCCAUCCUGGGUAACAGAGUCAGACUUUGUCUC
rnacentral:miRNA from 1 species